rnacentral:rRNA from 1 species
AGCGAACGCUGGCGGUAUGCUUAACACAUGCAAGUCGAGCGCGAAAGUGACUUCGGUCAUAAGUAGAGCGGCGGACGGGUGAGUAACACGUGGAUAAUCUGCCUUUAGGACUGGGAUAACCCUGGGAAACUAGGGCUAAUACCGGAUAAGACCACAGGUUCCAUGGAACCAGGGGUAAAAGGCGGCCUUCGGGCUGUCGCCGAAAGAUGAGUCCGCGUCCCAUCAGGUAGUUGGUGAGGUAACGGCUCACCAAGCCGAAGACGGGUAGCCGACCUUAGCGGGUGAUCGGCCACACGGGGGACUGAGACACGGCCCCGACUCCUACGGGAGGGCAGCAGUGGGGAAGUCUUGCGCAAUGGGCGGAAAGCCUGACGCAGCGACGCCGCGUGAGGGAUGACGGCCUC